CUAUGGGCGGCUGCAGUGAGGAAUAUUGCACAAUGGAGGAAACUCUGAUGCAGCAACGCCGCGUGGAGGAUGACGCAUUUCGGUGUGUAAACUCCUUUUAUAUGUCAAGAAAAUGACGGUAGCAUAUGAAUAAGCACCGGCUAACUCCGUGCCAGCAGCCGCGGUAAUACGGAGGGUGCAAGCGUUACUCGGAAUCACUGGGCGUAAAGGACGCGUAGGCGGGAUAUCAAGUCAGGUGUGAAAUCCUACAGCUUAACUGUAGAACUGCACUUGAAACUGGUAACCUAGAGUAUGGGAGGGGGAGAUGGAAUUAGUGGUGUAGGGGUAAAAUCCGUAGAUAUCACUAGGAAUACCUAAAGCGAAGGCGAUCUCCUGGAACAUAACUGACGCUAAGGCGUGAAAGCGUGGGGAGCAAACAGGAUUAGAUACCCGGGUAGUC
rnacentral:rRNA from 1 species